AAUCAGUUUAAAAAAAAUAAAAACCAUAGAACACCAAAAAAAACCCCCACAAAAAACAACCAACCCCCCAUAAAAGAGACAAACAGAAGCAGGAGAGCUGAGAGACCUAGCCGCCUGAACAAAUAAAAAGGCCUUUGUUUUUUAAAAGCAGCCACGGAUGUCAGAGAGUGGACAUUCACAGAUGUCAGAGAGUGGACAUUCACAGAUGUCAGAGAGUGGACAUUCACAGAUGUCAGAGAGUGGACAUUCAUUGGGAGAGCAUUCCACAGCCUGAGGGCAACAACAGAGAAGGCCCUGUCCCACGUGGACAACAGUUUAGCCUCUCUCAUCAUCGGUACACGGAGCAAAGGCCCCUCUGAUGACCUUGUUGGGCAGGCAGAAAUCCUUAGGAGCAGGUGAUCCUUCAGGUAUCCAGGGCCCAAACCAUUGAGGGCUUUAAAGUGAUGCUGAACCAUGCACAGAAUUGUCGCAAAUGGAAAGCACAAGAAGAGGACUGUACCACAUAUGUAUAUUUUAUUUAAAGCAUUUAAUUAACAUAUAAUUUUACUUUACUUGCACAGCUCCUUUGUGAAAAAUGUAUUUUUCUCUUGCAAACAGAGCAUAGCAGCCAGCUUUCUGAAAGGCAAAUUUCAGAUGUGUAUUAUUUCUUUGUUAAUUUCCAUACCUCGUUAUAUUAAAGUCUACUGAAAUACUAAUGCG